UCUCUUCUCUCAAAUCAAACACGCCUCUCUCCCUCUCGCUCUGCCUUCAGCCGAGGCGUUCGCCGCCGCGGCUCCAGCGCGGCCGUGCCGGUCGAGGGCGGCGCCUCUCGCCGUUUCAUUCUCCCCUUGCGACUCCUCCAUCUCAAAUCGACAGAAACAAUGGAAGCCUUACUCCUCCUUCCAAAUCGAGCCCUAGCUCUCCCAAAAUCAGGAAUCGCCGCCGCCGCUCCUGAAUUCCGGUGAACGGCGGUCGAACCUCCUCCCUCACCUCCAUCUCUGCCUUCUUCGCUCUCAAUUUCCAUCGAAGCUUGAGCGAGCCCUAAUUUUUCCCUUCUUGAGGUGCCGCUGCCGCCGCCGCUGCAACUGGAAGGCCGACGAGAUUCGCCGCGCCGCUGCACCCGUAGCGGCGUCCGCUGGUCGUCAGGCCGCCGAGGGCGCCGAUCCUCGGCUGCCCCCUCUUCAUCUCACUACCUUCCUUUUGAAAUCGAGUGCAAAGGAUGAAGGGAGGAAACAUGAUUUCCUCAGUCUGAUAUCGUUUCCGCCGUUGCUGCUCCGCGGUUUCCGGCUAGUAGGGAAAAGCCCGCCGUUGCUGUUUUCUCCAGGGUCGACGGUUCGAGCCACGCCACGCUGCUGCUGCUGGAUUCGGGCGAAGGGUACGCCGCCGAAUGCUGCUAUUCCAGAAUCGGCGAGGGCCAUCGCCGAGGUCAGGAGUCGCCUGCCCUUCACCGCUCGACGCCGUCGACGCUGCUGCCCCCGCGAGUCGCCGCCCAGACGUCGUUUCUCGGCCUGACUGAGCAGGGCAGCGCCCCUCUUUUCUAAAAGCUAAGUUCUCCUCUACCCUACUGUAAAGCUUGAUUUUCCUUAUUGUGCUUAGUAUGUUGAGUUGCUCGAGUUCUACACACUAAUUCUUACAUUAAAAGAAAAAUGUAACUGGUGUUCUGCAUUAUGAAGUGUAACUUGGCUAUGUUCAUUAUGCUUAUAUAGGUCUUCUAUCAUUUGAAUCUGAUCAUGUUUGAUGGUAUGAAUGCAAACACUGGAUUGAAUAAUAGGAUAGCAUGAUUUACCUCGAAUGUUUUUGAACUGAUUGCUUGCUGUUGGAGUUGAAAGAAAUGUGUAAUAACUUGAAGUAUAACUGUUGGUUGGCUGCUAUGGCUGGAUGAGAUGGAAGGAUUCUGAAAUAAAUCAUAUCCGUUCCUUUCAAUAAAUGCAGGUUACAAAUGGAAGAAGAUGAGAAAUUAAAGCCAAUGUUUACCUUAAAGUUUCUGGACUGGAAUGACUAGAAGUUGGCAGACUGAAUGAAUGAAGGAAGAUCUGUUACUCUGAAUAUUUCUAAGUGUAGAAUGAGGAGAAUGCAGUAUUUUGUUGGCUGUGGUUCGAUGUUGGCUGGAAGGCGAAGGGUUGGUGCACUUGAGUGUGCUAAUGGAUGGUAGUAGGGUGUAGGGAGAAGGGGAUUGGAGGGGUGGGGCGGCUGGCAUAGGGGAGAGUGAAGGGUGCUGCAGAUUUUUGCACACAUAUUCACUUAUCCUUUCUUUGUACUCAACAUUCUCAUGCUUAGGUAGAUGUUAGGAUUGUAAUAGCUAGGUAGGUUGUGGUGCAAAUAAAUAAAACCCCUUUGUCUUGGUAANGCCCAAGGAAAAAUAAAAUAAGAUGGCCCAACUAAUUAAUGGUCCAAUUAAUAAAAGAAUAAAAAAAAUAUAGGGGAAGGCCCAAAUCCCUCCCCCUCAAACUCGUCCCUCUCAGUCAUCUCACCCUCUCAAACCAGCCGCUCCCUCCUCCUCCCUCUCACUCUCGACCCGCCUUCAGACGAGGCGUCCGCCGCCGCGACUCCGGCGCGGCCGCGCCUGGCCGAGGGGCGGCGCCUCUCGUCCAUCUCCCUCUCUCCUCUCGAAACUCCUCUCUCUCAAAAAUCAGAACGCCACCCUCUCCCCCUUUCUCUCUCUCUCUCGCUCCGCCUCCAGCCGGUUCCGCCGCGAACGGCUCCGGCGAGGCCGUGCCGGCCGAGCUUCUGCUGCUGUCUCUCAGAUUUAGGGGAGGCCACCUAAAAUUGAGCCCUAAUUCUCCCCCUUCCAAAAUCGAGCCCUAGCUCUCCCAAAUCGGAAAUCGCCGCCGCCGCCCCUGAAAUUCUGGUGAACGGCGAUCGUUCCUCCUCCCUUACCUCCAUCUCUGCCUUCUUCGCUCUCAAUUUCCAUCGAAGCUUGAGCGAGCCCUAAUUUUUUUUCUUCUUGAGGUGCCGCUGCCGCCGCCGCUGCAACUGGAAGGCCGACGAGAUUCGCCGCGCCGCUGCACCCGUAGCGGCGUCCGAUGGUCGUCAGGUCGCCAAGGGCGCCGAUCCUCGGCUGCCCCCUCUUCAUCUCACUACCUUCCUUUCAAAAUCGAGUGCAAAGAAUGAAGGAAUGAAGCAUAAUUUCCUCAGUCUGAUAUCGUCUCCGCCGUUGCUGCUCCGCGGUUUCCGGCUAGUAGGGGAAAGCCC
rnacentral:lncRNA from 1 species